rnacentral:rRNA from 1 species
AUGGGAACGCGAAGAACCUUACCUAGACUUGACAUCUCCUGAAUAGUGUAGAGAUACAUGAAGCCCUUCGGGGCAGGAAGACAGGUGGUGCAUGGUUGUCGUCAGCUCGUGUCGUGAGAUGUUGGGUUAAGUCCCGCAACGAGCGCAACCCUUAUUACUAGUCGCUACCAUUAAGUUGAGCACUCUAGUGAGACUGCCCGGGUUAACCGGGAGGAAGGCGGGGAUGACGUCAAAUCAUCAUGCCCCUUAUGUCUAGGGCAACACACGUGCUACAAUGGUGAGUACAGAUAGAUGCGAUACCGCAAGGUGGAGCCAAACUCUAAAACUCAUCCCAGUUCGGAUUGUAGGCUGCAACUCGCCUACAUGAAGUUGGAGUUGCUAGUAAUCGCGAAUCAGAAUGUCGCGGUGAAUACGUUCCCGGGUCUUGUACACACCG